rnacentral:tRNA from 1 species
GCCUCCGUAGCUCAGGGGAUAGAGCACCGCUCUCCUAAAGCGGGUGCCGCAGGUUCGAAUCCUGCCGGGGGCACAA